GAGGGUGAAGGGGUCUGUCUGGAGACCACGGUAAGAGGAGGAAGCCCUGAAGAUGUCCUGCUUUGAUACUGAUAAGCGUGUCCUUUCUCGGAGACCACGACGCCAGUAACCCCAAUGAAACAAUAAACCCCUGUAGAGGUGGACCCAGGUGUUUUCCUUCAAAGCCUCUAAGUACUUUGAGAUGAGUUGCCAGCCUCUCUAUCUUUAUCCGCAUGGCUACAAACCACCACAGUCGACCAUUUACAAGUUCCAGCAAUAGCUUCAAAGUAAAGAGAACUCAUCAGCAAGGACCAAUUACCUUUGUCAAUCAAAUGAGGGGUCAUUCUGCAUUUUCCAGUUCAAUGUUAGUUUCCAACAUGAACAACAGCAAUAUAACAAUUCAUUCAGAUUGACUCACACUUCCAGAAUCCAGUUCUCAUGAACCUAGCCCAUGCAGAGCAUCCAAAUUUGAUGAAUCUCGGCAAGAACAAAAAUAAUGAGAACAUUCUACUAUCAAAUACUCUUGAGGGAGAAGCACCUCAUUCUGAUUUGGGAAAACCUUUUGCAUGCAGCGAGUGCGGACAUUUGUUUGAAAGGAAGUGUACCCUGAUGACCCACUUUAGAAUACUCGUGACAAGCAGGUUUUUACUUGUGGAGACUGUAACAAAGAAUUUUCCUCAAAAGGACAAUUAGCCUUCCAUAGCAUAACCCAUACAGGAGUAAGGAAUUUCACAUGUGGUCAGUGUGGAAAAAGAUUUACUCAAAAAUCCAAUCUCAUUUUCCAUAUAAGGAUUCAUACUGGAGAGAGGAACUAUGCAUGUCCCAUCUGUGGAAAGACGUUUAUUCAGAAGAGUGGGCUUACUGUGCAUGGGAAAGCUCAUAACAAUGAGAAAAUUUUUUCUUGUACUGUGUAUAAAAAGAAAUUCACUUUUAAGAGCAAUUUAACUGCUCACAUGAAGACUCAUCGAAAGGAGAAAAAUUACAUUUGUGUUGAGUGUGGAAAAGCAUUUACGGAAAAGAGGCUCUUAGUCUCACACACCAAAUAUCACAUAGGACAAAAGGACUAUAUUUGUAAGGAAUGUGGCAAAGGUUACUAUACAAAAACACAUCUCAAAAGGUUCAAGUGUGAGGAAUGUGGUAAGAUGUUUGUUAGGAAACAGCAGCUAGACGUCCACAUUGUGGUACAUUCCAGUUUUAAGAAUGUCCCAUGUGAGGAAUGUGGGAAAAGAUUCAGUAGGAAACAGUAUCUUCUUGACCACUUGAAUAAUCAGAGGUGGUGAGAAAAGGUAUUUGUGUGUGAUAUGUGAAAAGAGAUUUAGCACCAAGAGCAGUUUGAACAGUCAUAAGGAAGUUCAUACAAGAGAAAAGAACUUUCCUUGUACAGAAUGUAGCAAAACGUUUUCUCGGAAAAAUGAUCUAGGACUCCACUUGAAAAUUCAUUCAGGAGAGAAAAAUUUAUACUUGUGAGAUUUGUAAUAAAAGUUUUGUUCAGAAAAGUCAUCUUUUUGUCCAUGCACGAAUUCAUAAUGAAGGGGAUUUAGCAUGCGAGUACUGUGGAAAAAUAUUUGCCUGCAAAAGUCGUAUGCCAGGUCAUUUGAGAAUUCAUAGUAAACUUAUCAGUACCAGAAAGUUUCAGUGUGAAAAAUGUGGAAAAGCGUAUAAAGGCUUAAAAGGUUUAAAAUAUCAUAGAGUAUCGGCCUGUAAUCCAAGUUUAGUUCAUUCUCAGAUUCAUCGUAAAGAUAAAGAAGCUGUGGAAACAUCAAAAGAAAAUAAUGCUCACAUAACUGAGUCUCAGAAACAAGCCUCUCUUAGUCAGCAGUUAGGGAAUGAUAAAGAUGAUUAUGAUGAUCCCCUUGAUAUAUGUAAUCUCUUAUCUCCUUAUGGAGCACCAUUUCAGGAGGAGGAUUUAGUGGAAAAUAAUGCGUAUAGUUCUUUUGAUGACAUAAACCUUCGUAAAAGUGAUGUCUUAUAUAUACCAUCUGAAAAUCUAUAUCAUGGUAAUUUAUUAAAAAAAAUGUCGCCUUGUGCAAUGUCCCUAACAUCUGGAGAUAGCUUACCAGUGCCAACACAGAACAUAAGUAAGGUAAAUACUCCCCAUAAUGUGGACUCAGAGAGUGACCAAAAAAUUGCUGAUAACCUUGUUGAAGUUAAAUUAGAGGUUGAUAAUAUAAAAAGUGAACACCUGUCCAGUGAUGUAUGUGAGAAUAGAUAUAGCAUUCAAGUAGAAACAAUGGUUGAUGUUGUGUCAGCAGACUAAUAAAUAAUUUUUUCAAAUACAUAUUUAAAAUGCUAUUCUUUGAAGAUUAUGAAGAAAUUUAACUUCUCGUGCACUUCCAUUAACUGUCAGACUUAGGUUUGUUGAAUAUUUUAAUGUGUCGAAGUGUUUAUUUAAUGUACUAUAUGAUUAAAUGAUGAACUGCAGUUGAAGUCAGCUGCAUGUGCGCAUUUGCCAGAUUAUUUCCCCACCUAUAAACUCUUAUACUUGAGUCAAAUUUCAUAAGUACCACAUUAUUCUUUUGUCUCAAGAAAGAAUUGACAGUCAAUGAUUGUCACCCUCAUUUGUAGACAAAACUGAUGACAGUACCAGAUUGAUCUUUAUUUGUCAGCAUAUUCUGUCGUAUAAAGCGCAUUAAUCACAAGCGGUGUUUGGAAUUGCAUUUGUAGUUUUGAGAACUAGAGUUCAUAAAAGUAAAAAAUAUGAAGUAGCUAAUAUGAUGUGUAAAUGUGUUUCUUGUAAAAAAGAAUAUACAUUGUCUUGCAAGCUGCUACUUCUUUGCCAGUAACUUCAGAGCAGAUCAGGAUUUAUGUGAGAAGAAAGAACAUGUGAUUCCAUUAAAAUGAGGUAUGGAACAUGCCAUCACACUCUCUUCUCUCUAAUAACUUUGGUCUUUGGUUUGGUUUAAUCAGAGUAAUGUAUCUUACCAAGCUUUUGUUUUUUAUUUCCACUUGACUGCUAGUGUGUGUUGCUUGUGACCUACUUUGGCUAACUGAAGUUUCAUUGAUAAUCUUUGAUUCCUAGGCUUAUCUGCUGGGCUUUUAGAUUCCUUACUGUAAGGGAGUCAGUAUUAUGGGUAGUCUACUUAUUCAAAUUCAGUUUUGUUAAUUAAAUGUAAUAUAGAAUGUAAUAGGUAACUUGUCGAAAAAGUAAAUUUCCCAUAUGAAACAUGAAGUGCACCAGCAAACAUGGUCCUCUUGAUGUAUGAGGAUAAACUCUAAAGAUGAUCAAGUAUUAGAGAUCAGACAUGAAAAUGAUGGCAAGAAUAGCACCAUUAUGAUGAUAUCAGGGAUGAAAGCUAUAAUUUUGACAUGUUUGGUAUCUCAUAUUGGUUAGUAGUUCCUCUUGAGUGCCAGUGCAUAGUGAUGUGAAAAUAUCUGCCAUGCUAUUUGAUUGUAAAUUGAUCACUCUAUCUUGAAUGAAUUGUUAUUAGUUUGUGAAGAGUUAGUUACCUUUAUUAACAGAUAGUGCCAUCAGGACUGCUUUGGCCCUUGGGAAUGAUAUCAUUAUUUUGUCCUCCUUAUAGAGAUCCUGGUCUAAGAAGCAUAGGUAAACAGAUUAACAGCCUCUCCUCCUUGUUGUCCUUGAUUCCUCACAGAUCUUCAGGUACACAUUAUUGUAAUAAGUAUGACUCACAAUCAACACUUACACAAACUUUAAACUCCAAGUAUGGGUAGUAACAUGACUUAUUUGUACAGUGCUGGAAGUUCAUAAUUGCCUUGGGAGACACAGCACACUUUGCAGUACAUUUUAAGGAAAAUACCUGAGAGAGCUAAUUUUGUCUAGUAGAAUGGACGCAUUGAUAUACAUAGGACCUGAUUAACGUCCUUGCAAAUGUAUUUCACUUAAGCUCAAAGGCUCAGGUGAAGAAGUGGGGCUAUACAGCACCUGAAUGGAAUCUUAACUCUCCCAGGAUAACAUGCUCUUCCCUCUCAUAUAAAUACUUGUUUACCUUCACUUCAUUACUUCAAAGUAUAGAAGUAGUAACCUUUAUCAAGGCAUUGGUUUGAAUUCAAUAAAACAAUAAAUUUCUCAAUUAAAUGCCAAUUCUAUUAAUGCAUUGUUUUAGUGAAUAGGUAUUUGUUUUUAUUAUCCUGAAAUAUUUCUUAUAAUUGGAGGUUUAGUAUCUUUGAUGUUAAUUAAUUGUGGUUUAUAUAUUUCUUAUAAUAUUGCAGGUUUAGUAUCUUAGGCGUCAAUUAAUUGGGGUUUUUAUAUGUACAUAUAUGGAAGCUGACAAAUAUUUCUUGAAAAUACUCAUACACGUAUAACUCUUAUUCGUAGAACUAUGUAAAUUAAUUGUAUGUGCAUCCCUUCUAUGCAGUCUAUAUUUUACACAUAUAAGGAAACAUAACCUUGGAAGUAUUUAUAUUGUUUAUUGAUAUGAUCGAAUGAUGAUCCCGAUUGUAUUUUAAUAUUUUGUUAGUUUUAUUUUCUUCAACAUUUUAUGAAGGCUAUCAAAUAAAUUCUAGGGAUGGAACUUUAGUUGCCUCUGAGGGAGCUUUGAAGAAAUAAAAAAUUGCAAAUGUUAAACUCUCAAGAACUGGAAGACACUUCAUCAGGAUUGUAUGGCACCAGAAAUAUUAGAAGUGACCCAUAUGUGAUGAUUUAAGCAUCAAUGAGGCUACUUCGAGGUAGUGUAUAGGGAACACUGGGGAGCAGCCAAAUGAUGGGAACUGGGAAAUUAUGAAAUUGUUAAAGAAGGGAAAGUUAGGAAAUAAGGAAGUUGGAGAGGUUUUACUUUUACAUGAAUAGUGGCAAAAAUAUUCUGUUUAUAGUCCUGAAUAAAUUUCAAAAUUCUCUUGAUUGAAAAGUAAAAGUGAUGAGAAGGUAGCAUUCAGUACAGCAGAUAUGGAUUAAAAUUGAUCUUGUUAAUAAUGCCUCAGGCAGAUCUUUCUUUUGCAGCAGAUGAUACAUUGAUGUGGAACAAAAUUUUACAACGUUUGAGAAUGACAGUUCAGGGUCUGUCGUGCAUUAAAAGGUAAAACUUUAGGAGGUCAAUGUUUUCAUGAUCCACUUGAAACUAAUGGUUGAAAUGUCCCUGCAACCAGUUUCAACACAAUGCUAAGAACAUGCUUUAAAGUUCUAGUACGAUGAUUAGAGCGUUCUUCCAGGAAUUCUAUGCAAACAAUUUAAUGUCCUUCAAGUCUCAAGCUACGAAACCUCACAUAGCUAUGAUUCAAGGGCUGGAAUCUCGUCAAAUCUACAGCAGAGAUACAAGACUGACUGGAACAUUCUGACAGCUCCAUGGUUACGACAAUUAAUGAAAUGUCCUUCAAACUUGAUGAAUUACGGCACAACAGCUGGAAAGUUGUUUUGAAGAGUUAUAGAGCGAUAAAUUUAACUUCUGGGUUACGACACAGUGCCUGGGAUGUUCUUGAAACGUAAAACAAGACACAAUGACAAGAGUGUUCUUUCCAGAGUUACUGUAUACUAUGUCAUAUUUAUCUCUUGUAUUUUGAAAAAAAAACAAUGACAAAGCUACUCUGCCUUUUAAUCUCUCUGAGAAUCAAUGAGGGCUUUGUCUAUUUCACUAAGGAAAUACUAAAGUGAUGAACAUCUUGUGUAUAUGUUUAAGUAGCUGAUUACUUGGAAAAAGUUUAUCAAUGGCAACUAUUGAAGUUUACUCUGAUCUUUUUUUUGUUCUUUCUUCAAUUUGUUCUUUAUUUCGUAAGUGAAAUAGACAGGAUCUUGACCUAGUGUCCUCUGCUGUACGAAUGCAUGCAUAUGAUAAUUGCUAAUACAAUUAUUAAUGAUAAACCCUUCCUGGAAGCAAUUAUACUUAUUAUUAUAGUCAUAAUUAUCGUACGAAUAUCUUAUCAUAAAAUCCUACCCAUGUCUUUAUACAUACAGAUUCCUAUGGUAGGAAAUAAAGGUGAAUAAAAACUGUUGCUAUUAUUUGGCAAACAUGAAAGGUAGUCAUAUUUUAGAAACAACCACUAACUAUUUGGGAAAUAAUAAAAAAGUAGUCUUAAAAUAGAAGCGGUCACUAAUUAUUUGAGAAACAUACAAACAGUUUUUGUAUUGAGAUAGUCAUUAAUUAAUUAUUUGGGGAACAUGAAAAAUAGUCUUUACAUAGAAACAGUCACUAUUUAUAUUGGAAAAAAGUCUAAAUAAAAAAAGUCGCUGAUUAUUUGUGAAACAAUAAAAAAGUUCAUAUAAUAAGUCACUAAUUAUUUGGGAAACAUAAAAAAGUCUAUAUAAAAAAAAAGUCACUAAUUAUUUAGGAAACAAAAAAGUCUAUAUAUAGAAACAGUCACUAAUUAUUUGAGGAACACAUGAAAAGCAGUCUUCAAUUGUUUUGGGACCCUAAUGGAGCAAUAGAAAGCCGUGUUAAAUGGAAACGUCACUUUGCAAUCCUAAAGAGAGACAAUUCAUUGCGGGACUUUGUGGCCUGGAAGAGGUUAAAAAAAUAAUAAAAACAUCUGCUAAAAGAUGCAAACGAGAGAUAAUUAGUUUCCCUCCAACUUCUGAAUUAUGCGGAGAAAUGCGUCUGUUGGCGGAUGUCAUUUUUUUUUAUGUUGUCGGUUUUACAGAUGAGUUUUAUUUAUGUAAAUGUGGUGGUACUGUCGCUUGUUC